UUAACUGGUCUGAAUUGUAAUGUCGUUGGUUUUUGUAUAGCCUUCAUGCGGUCGUCCCCGGAAAGAAACGACAAUAAUAGUAGGAUCUCUAGCUCGCCUUCAAAAUCAUCCUCUACGUGUUCCUCUCCUUCAUCUCAUCAGGCAGUAAAUACUUCAUCAGCAAGAAAGUCCAUGGAAGACGUUUGGAAAGAUAUAAACCUAACCUGCCUUCAAGAGUGCCCCGCCAGCCACACCAACCACCACCCUGCUUUUCCCGCUGGUGUGAUCCUUCAAGACUUCUUGGUGAGACCCUUCAACAAAGACCCACCAACUCACUCCUCUGGUAGCAGGGUCACUGAUUUCUUGGAUUCUUUAGCGCCAAGACCUGCCACAACGUUGAGGUUGAAUUCUGGGUCUGAUUUAGAAAUUCUUGAAAGCAAUAGUGUCCCCAGAAGGCCAAAUAACCCUCAGUUGCAUAGUCAUGCGAGUGUUGACACAUCCUCAUUUGGUUCUUCUCUAUUCUCUCCCUUUGGUGCUCUGGGUUCUUCAUCGGUGAUCCCUUCCAUUUGCAAGAAAAGGCUUCAAGAAAAUCACGGCAACAGUAGCGAUCGGAGACAUAAAAGAAUGAUCAAGAAUAGAGAAUCAGCUGCACGGUCCAGGGCUAGAAAGCAGGAAUCUCUCUAUCUCUUACCCAAAAAAGAUGUUUUCUUUACUUCAUGUGAUGUUUUCGUAACUUUAUUUAGUGGUUUACCCCCUUUUUAAAACAUGUUCAGGCUUACACGCAAGAGUUGGAACUAGAAAGAGCCCAGUUAACUGAAGAGAAUGCUAGGCUUAGAAAGCAGCAACAAAAGUUCCUGGCAGCUCCCGCUCAGCUUACAAAAAAGCAGAGUCUGUAUAGAACCUCAACAGCACCAUUUUGAGAAAUACAUCUCUAUCAAGCUGUCCAAUAACAAAGCAGGUGGAAUAGAAAAAGACGGCCAAGGGAGAAAGAGUUGUGUGCGUGUGGAUCCCAAGCUACACGACAAACUGUGGGCAUUUUGUUCUCUCUUUUUCCCCACCAAAAAUAUUAUAUAUAAAUGUUAUUCCUUGACUUUCUUGUCCGUUUCUAGUACUGUGUGGUUUCUUUUCUCUCCUCCAACUCCAAUCACGAGGCUUUGUUGGGGAGAAGCACAAAGACUUGUAAAAUAUAAAUGCUUCAUAAGAAACCCCAUUUGAUAUUUUGUUUGGCUAUAAAUAUACACGGGUUUUACUUUUC
rnacentral:misc_RNA from 1 species